rnacentral:rRNA from 1 species
CCUACGGGCGGCAGCAGUGGGGAAUAUUGGACAAUGGGGGGAACCCUGAUCCAGCCAUGCCGCGUGUGUGAAGAAGGCCCUCGGGUUGUAAAGCACUUUCAGUGAGGAAGAACGCCUGGUGGUUAAUACCCAUCAGGAAAGACAUCACUCACAGAAGAAGCACCGGCUAACUCCGUGCCAGCAGCCGCGGUAAUACGGAGGGUGCGAGCGUUAAUCGGAAUUACUGGGCAUAAAGCGCGCGUAGGUGGCUUGAUAAGCCGGUUGUGAAAGCCCCGGGCUCAACCUGGGAACGGCAUCCGGAACUGUCAAGCUAGAGUGCAGGAGAGGAAGGUAGAAUUCCCGGUGUAGCGGUGAAAUGCGUAGAGAUCGGGAGGAAUACCAGUGGCGAAGGCGGCCUUCUGGACUGACACUGACACUGAGGUGCGAAAGCGUGGGUAGCAAACAGGAUUAGAUACCCGGGUAGUC